rnacentral:rRNA from 1 species
UGGAGGCAGCAGUGGGGAAUUUUGGGCAAUGGGCGAAAGCCUGACCCAGCAACGCCGCGUGGAGGGCGAAGCCCCUCGGGGUGUAAACUCCUUUUCUGUGGGAAGAGCAAGGACGGUACCACAGGGAUAAGCCUCGGCUAACUACGUGCCAGCAGCCGCGGUAAGACGUAGGAGGCGAGCGUUGUCCGGAUUUACUGGGCGUAAAGGGCGUGUAGGCGGCAGGGCAAGUUGGCUGUGAAAGCCCCCGGCUUAACUGGGGAGGGUCAGUCAAUACUGCUCCGCUUGAGGCCGGUAGGGGGAGACGGAAUUCCCGGUGUAGUGGUGAAAUGCGUAGAUAUCGGGAGGAACACCGAUGGCGAAAGCGGUCUCCUGGGCCGGUCCUGACGCUGAGACGCGAAAGCGCGGGGAGCGAACCGGAUUAGAAACCCGAGUAGUCCC